AAUUGGGAAGAGUUGGGUGUGGGGUUGGGGACGUCUGAGGGUCGCCCUGGGAACCUUCGGGAAGCCUUUUCACCUCUGGAAAGGCUCCUCACACCUGGACCAAGAAGGGGUGAAGAAAUUGUAGGAAUGAAGCUGAGGCCCAACGCCACUCACUUGGUCAAUGACAGAGAUGGGAUUUGAACCCAGGCUGUCAGGCUUCAGAGUCUGUGCUGUUCUUCACUGUGAAACACCCUCUGAUCACGCUUUAAAUUGUACCAAGAUUGUAAUUAGCACAUGAAUCAACUCAAGAUGGCCAUUAGCACAUGGAUGUCUUUGAGCAGGUGAAAGCCAAUAAUUCAGAAUCCCAGGAAAUAAAUAAGAUUAACAAGUGUCAUGGGUGACUCGCUGGAGGGACAUGCCAGCCAAGCAGGACACCAGGGGUGAUUUGUUAUAGCAGCUGGCAUCACACUCACCGCCACACUGACCCUUCCUCUCUGGCCCCUGAUAUCAAUAAAGCUUGAGCCCAUCCU